UACGUAGGGUGCGAGCGUUAAUCGGAAUUACUGGGCGUAAAGUGUGCGCAGGCGGGCCGCGCAAGUCGAGUGUGAAAUCCCCGGGCUUAACUUGGGAAUUGCGCUCGAAACUACGUGGCUGGAGUGUGGCAGAGGAAGGUGGAAUUCCACGUGUAGCGGUGAAAUGCGUAGAGAUGAUGGAGGAACACCGAUGGCGAAGGCAGCCUUCUGGGCCAACACUGACGCUCAUGCACGAAAGCGUGGGGAGCAAACAGGA
rnacentral:rRNA from 1 species